rnacentral:tRNA from 1 species
GGGCCGGUGUAGCUCAGCUGGUAGAGCACCUUGUGGUUUCGCCGGCCUUGUUCUCUGGACACCUACGUCACGCACCUCCCGGUGCGCAGGCUGCGGCUCCUUCUUUCGCAAAGAAACCCACGCCGCCGCCACCUUGAUCUCGGGAGGCCGCGUGGGGGAUGUCCGGUGCGCAGGCGACGGCUACUUCCGGACCCGGAGGCCGUGGGUUCGAAUCCCACCCGGCUCG